UCUCGGCUUCUUCUACGUCGGCGUCGAGCUCAACCAGUUCGGCCUGCCUUUGUGCUACUGACUUCAUAUAGGCAUGCCUGUCAAUUUGUGGUAACUGCGGAUGAAAUUGCAAGGUGAUAGCCCUGAUAUGGAUCAAACUGUUGUGCAAUCAAGCUCUUCGAGAUGUGCAAUCAAACUACUAAAGGUUGUUAAAACUUCUUAAAAAAUUAUAGAUGCACUUCAUUA